CCCCUAGAUGUUCUGGGCCGCACGCGCGCUACACUGAACAGUUCAACAAGUCUUAACCUUGGCCGAUAGGUUUGGGUAAUCUUUGAACGCUGUUCGUGAUUGGGAUAGACCUUUGCAAUUAUGGGUCUUCAACGAGGAAUUCCUAGUAAACGCAAGUCAUCAGCUUGCAUUGAUUACGUCCCUGCCCUUUGUACACACCGCCCGUCGCACCUACCGAUUGAAUGGUCCGGUGAAAUCUCGGGACGGCGGCUUGGUCGCUUGCGUCCGACUGCUGAAACUUGAUUAAACCAUNUNAUUUAGNGGAAGGUGAANUCGUANCA
rnacentral:rRNA from 1 species